rnacentral:rRNA from 1 species
UACGUAGGGUGCGAGCGUUGUCCGGAUUUAUUGGGCGUAAAGGGCUCGUAGGCGGCCUGUCGCGUCGGGAGUGAAAGCCCACUGCUUAACGGUGGGUCUGCUUCCGGUACGGGCGGGCUGGAGUGUGGCAGGGGAGACUGGAAUUCCAGGUGUAGCGGUGAAAUGCGUAGAUAUCUGGAGGAACACCGGUGGCGAAGGCGGCAUCCUGGACCGAUAUUGACGCUGAGGAGCGAAAGCCAGGGGAGCAAACGGG